AUGUGCCAGGAAAAAUUGGUACAAGAAGCCGUGGAUACACUUCUUGAUAGUGCGUCCCGCGGGCAACUGACGAGGGAUGGUCACAGUAAAAUAUACAAAUCACUUUCAGAUGUAAUUGAAGGUAAAGAGGGAAGGUUUCGCGAGACUCUGCUUGGGAAACGGGUCGAUUACUCGGGGCCUUCUGUCAUUUUUGUGGGUCCUUCGCUUUCAUUACAUCAAUGUGGAUUACCUCUAGAGAUAGCAAUAAAGUUUUUUCAGCUAUUUGAAAUUCGCGAUUUAAUCACGAAACGCGCCACUUCUAAUGUAAGGAUUGCUAAAAGGAAAAUUUGGGAAAAAUAA
rnacentral:rRNA from 1 species